rnacentral:rRNA from 1 species
UACGUAGGGUGCGAGCGUUGUCCGGAAUUAUUGGGCGUAAAGAGCUCGUAGGCGGUGUGUUACGUCGGCCGUGAAAACCUGCAGCUUAACUGUGGGCGUGCGGUCGAUACGGGCAUCACUGGAGUUCGGCAGGGGAGACUGGAAUUCCUGGUGUAGCGGUGAAAUGCGCAGAUAUCAGGAGGAACACCGGUGGCGAAGGCGGGUCUCUGGGCCGAUACUGACGCUGAGGUGCGAAAGCGUGGGGAGCAAACAGG